UUUGGGGUUUGCACUGACGUUUUCUGAAAUAGGUGUAUACUGGCCUACAAACAGAAGGACAGCGAGACAAGCCACAGGAACGAACCAUUUAAAUUCGAGUUUUACAUAAAACAAAUCUGUAAAAUUCAUUUUCUAAAAUCGCAUAAUAUAUGAAACACAAAAAUAACAUCCUUUAUCAAACAUUAUCUUAAAACAAUAUUUUUUUUAUUUUAUUUUCAGGACAAAAACGUAUCUUAUAAGUCUUAGCCUCUAGCCUUUUCAUAAUCCAGAAUCCUUUGGAUAAUCCAUUCCUUCUCCGCGACCUAUUAUCCGCCUUAACUCAAAGACAAAAUCUCUUCUGUACUAAAUUUAACCACAUUCGCAUCGCAAUUAAAACUUGGAAAGUGGCCAUUCCCUACUUAUAAACGGGGUAGCAAAAGGUGUUUAGUUUUAGGGUAAGGGGAGUUGAAAACUGCUAAAAUACACGACGAUUGUUUUAUUUUGUUUCCACGCUAUAUGGUGCGAAUCGACUCUUUCCAAAACGCGCUUCCGCUUCACAGAUAUCGAUGCAAGUACGAAGGAAAACGAAAACACAAAUGAAAACAAAAUUCACUUUCUUAGGGACUAAAAUGUCGUUAGAACAAGUACGAUAAAGCAAGACCGCGGACGCUUCAAAAAAGAUUGUUAUACCGUCGUUAAACUGUUCCCCCAAGGAAUGGUGUCAGAAAUGUGAUCAAACUUGAGAGUAUUUCUACAAGGAUGAAAUACGAAAAUUGCGAAAAUUGAAGAGAUGAUAAGAUAAUGCGUGUUUAAAAUACCCGACAGAGUUGUCGUUGGCACGAAGUGAGAGUAAGUGUCUUCUGAAGCCAAUCGAACUGGGGAAAUGUCAGCGGAUGUUUCGCGUCAUCCCCAAUACUAUCUUAGUGCAAGAUCUACCCAUUCGCUUUACCAAUAUCAUACGGUACUCACUUUAAAGCGAAAAACACGAGCGCUGAUUGGAGGACAUGAGAGCAGAUUUAUAAAUUUUGCCUCGAGUCGUCUAUAGGGGUUGAAGAAAGCUUUUCAAGGGCGGCACGAAUUGCCCAGGGUUACGGAUUGUCAGGGAUAGCUAGAACCGAAUGCACUCUAUCGAAACAUUACGCAGAGAUGCAAACCACCCUGCCACAAUCACUUAUACUAUAAAACGUCAACAACAUAGUUUUCCUUCUGAAUUCCUUUAUUUAUUGUAAUUAAAUUUCUUCUGUUAGUAAAUACUAACAUUGUUUUGCAGUUUUCAGGCGCGAAUGAACAGCAACAUUUAAUUGUUUGAAAAUAAAAUAAGACACUUCUAUGCA